rnacentral:rRNA from 1 species
AUACGGAGGAUCCGAGCGUUAUCCGGAUUUAUUGGGUUUAAAGGGUGCGCAGGCGGGGGAUUAAGUCGGCGGUGAAAUUUUGCGGCUCAACUGUAAAAGUGCCUUUGGAACUGGUUUUCUUGUGUGUAGAUGAAGUAGGCGGCAUUUGUUGUGGAGCGGGGUAAUGCAUAGAUAUCACGAGGAACUCCGAUUGCGCAGGCAGCUUACUAAACUACUACUGACGCUCAGGCACGAAGGCGUGGGGAUCAAACAGGAUUAGAUACCCUGGUAGUCCACGCAGUAAACGAUGAUUACUAGCUGUUUGCGAUACAAUGUAAGCGGCUGAGCGAAAGCGUUAAGUAAUCCACCUGGGGAGUACGUUCGCAAGAAUGAAACUCAAAGGAAUUGACGGGG